UACGUAGGUGACCAGCGUUGUCCGGAUUUACUGGGCGUAAAGAGCGCGCAGGCGGUCGUUCAAGUCGAGUGUGAAAGCCCCCGGCUCAACUGGGGGGGGUCAUUCGAUACUGAUCGACUGGAAGGCAGGAGAGGGAAGCGGAAUUCCCGGUGUAGUGGUGAAAUGCGUAGAUAUCGGGAGGAACACCAGUGGCGAAGGCGGCUUCCUGGCCUGUUCUUGACGCUGAGGCGCGAAAGCUAGGGGAGCAAACGGG
rnacentral:rRNA from 1 species